UGCAGCUAAAUGGGACAGGAUGGGUGUAAAAUUAGCAGCGCUGCAAAAUCAGGCCUACCAGUACAAUGAGGAAAGGGAUUCACUGCGGCUGCUUGUUCGCCUGAAGGCAGCACGCGAAACAGCACGGUGCAGUGCUCAAGCCACGGUGGUGCUUUCUUUUGAAGAAAAGCUGCCAGAGGAGCACCUGAAGAUAUUCUUUGUAAGGACGACGUGUGUUUUCCAGAAUGGAAGGCAAAGAAACACCACAAUCCCCAGCAGAGGAAUGGCGCUCGCUCCCUGUGCCAGUAGCCUCACUAUUUUAGCUGUGACGCUCCCAACGCACCUGAAGGUAGCAACAAUCUGACUGCACCCGCCGUACCCACCGCUGAUGGCCAGCAUCUGCACUCACAGCAAAGCCACAGAUCUGAGUCACCUCCCUGUGAAAACCUUCCCUCCUGGGUGGAUGCCCUGAGCCUUAUCGGGGGACCAGGCGCACACCACUGGCCGGCAGGCAGCCGCUGCUCUCCAGGCAGCCUCCGGGAUGCUGCUAGCGGAGGAUGCCAGCCACAGAGCGCCUGCUCCUCCCGGCCCAGCUGCUGCAGGAGCCAGGAUGCCGCACAAAGCAACACAACACCACAUUUUGGAGAGCUGGAGGGGCCCAUCCCCUGCACGGUGCAGAGGAGCCGGACUCUGCAGCACAGGAGGCUCAGACCAAAGUUUAAUUCACAGCGUAAUGAAAUCCCACAAUUCAAGCACCAAAGCGUGCCAUAUACCACACGUAAACGCCCUAAUACUCUACAUUUUACAGCCGUGUAUCAUGAAGAACACUAAAUCUGAGAAACAAGAUUUUCAAGAGCAUCACAGGUACUUGAGAGCAACCCCAAGCGAUAACCAAAGCAAUGCAUGGGACGGGGCCUGCCUGGAACACGGGCACCGGGCUGGGGAGCAGCAGCACCGCGAUGCAGGACAGCCAGCCCCCAGCACGGCCGGCACUACCUGCCUCGCUCCCCAUCGCAGCUAACGAACUGCAACGCUUUAUGAACAAGAACUAAUUGUUACCCUGCUCUUUGUUAGGGCGCAGUUUAAUUCUGUACAUUACAUUUUAGUACCACUUUGGAUGCGGUUAUGAGCCCACGCUAGCUUGGCCAUGGCACCUUCACAGAAGGUGUCUCGGUUUGAAUCAGGAGCACGGUCCUGCCCAGCUGCACCUGAUUAUCAAAGGGAGAGAGCAAAGGUGCCUGAAUCGAGGCUCAGUCCCGUGGAAAUCCCGCAGAACCUACCCAGAGCUGAGACAGCCCCCGUGCACACAGGCAACACGUGCCCGCACUCCCCUGCAGCGUCGCUCGUGCCGCGGCCCUUCCGUGCCAUCGCUGUCUGACAGCGCAGGGGGAAGCAUCGAACGCUGCAAGUUCACGAGUGAUUUAUGCGCUUGUCAUUAUUCAUGGCUAUAAAACAUUAUAAUGCUCGAAAUAAGUAAAAACAUUUUUGCAGCUGCUGCAAAUGUUUCAUUCCUAGAUGUAAGCUUGGCCGAGACACAGGGAUCGCUGCAUAAGCGCCAGAUUCGCAGUGAAGUAAUUAGCACUUUGAAACACACAUCUACCUAAUGCGGGCACUCACAAUCCAGCCAGAGUUUCAACAUGACCUGCGCUGAUAACUAGCCGCAAAGACAAAUGUUUCCCAGGCUGCUCUCCUCCAGACAGGUAACUUUAUCCCUUAUCCCAAAGGUGUGGAAGAGCAAGGAUGAAGUGUUACAGACCUGGAACGACGUCCCACGCUACAGAUGUGUAAAACAGCUGGGCAAAUGAUGUCAUUAAAAAUACUUCGCCACCUCU